rnacentral:lncRNA from 1 species
GGCAGUCAGCUUCAUAGUUUGCUUUGCGCCAUGUAUAAUGAAAAAAGGUGUACAUAUGCCUGCAUAAGUCGAAAAUAGUGUUCUAGUCCACAGGCAUGAUGAAGUUCUUGAUGCCCAAGAGAACAUUUUUGGAGUUCCCCCUUAAUGACCAAGAAGAGGCUCCAAUCGGAAUUAAAACUUUUGAUGCCCACAAGAAUGGUUAUGGCCACAGCAGUAGUGGAUUCAGCAUGACCAAUAAGUCUCGAGUAAGGAAUAGGGUGUCAGUAGGGUGCUACGAUCUCUGUCUCUAAAAAUUCUUGCCCAGGUAGCUGAGGGAGUAACCAUAGAAGUUUGAGUGUGAUAUGACCUUGUUCCGGUAGUUGCCAAAGAGAUGAGGCCUUAAGUUUAACAAAGCUUGCGACACAUGAAAGAUUGGGACCUUGAAAAGGGUUGCCUUGAUUAAAGUGAGCUGACUAGCCAAUUAGAGAAACUGGCUUUUCCAAGCGGAAAGUUUGCAAUCAAAU